GCGCAAGUGGCGGAAUUGGCAGACGCGCCAGCUUGAGGUGCUGGUGGGAGUAAAAUCCCGUGGAGGUUCGAGUCCUCUCUUGCGCAUCA
rnacentral:tRNA from 1 species